rnacentral:lncRNA from 1 species
CUGACCUCGUGAUCCGCCCGCCUCGGCGUCCCAAAGUGCUAGGAUUACAGGCUUGAGCCACCGCGCCCAGCCGAUGAUGGUGUUUUUAAAGCCAACUUCUAAUACCUCUUUUUUCCAUUGCUUCAUUGCCAAGAGGAAUAAUUAGACUGUUGCAACAAUUAUGACAAAGGCGUCCUAUACCCUUGGUCUUCUUUCAUCCAUAGGGCAUCCAGAAGAGACCUGGUUUCUCUGUUGAUUGGAAGUUCACAUCAAAUUCCUUGACCCUGGGAUUAAACCUACAGUAAACAUGUGUAUUUUUGUGUUGCAGAUGCGUAUCAUAGAUGGAUAGUAAUGAAUACCAUUUAUUGAGCAUUUAUCAUGUGCGAAGUACUCUGCUUUCUUCUUCACAGGAUUCCCUUUAUUGAAGGUGGGAAUGAGGGGGAUUCUGGACUGCAGGCACAGGACAUCUGCCCUCCCACAGCAGCCUGAGAUGUUUUCUUCUUUGUGCAUGUUCCCCAUGAAGUGGGCUCAUACCCCUCCAUCAGUGUGCCUCCCCACCUCACCUGGAGCGUGGCUUCAGUGCCCCCACCGCCACCCCCAGCUUGUACUGCAGGGUUUUUUUUUAUCCUUUCUCUAAGCCAGUGAGAUAGGCACAGCUGAUAGUAUGAACCUUUCUAGCUAAGAGUCAGAUCAAGUGCUGGACAGAGACAUGACAAGUUCUCUCAAUUAAGCAAAAUGGUAUCUCGAGACAGGAUUUCAAUUCUAAUUUCAUAUUAAUAGCUUACAUUUAUUCAACAUUUAUUGUGUUCAAGUGCUGCUACAGUCCUUUUCACGCAGAAUCUUUUAACCCUCCAGAAUUGAACAGCAACAGCGCUAUUAUCCCUAUUUUACACUAAAGGAGCUGGCUCCCAGAGAGGUCAGGUCACCCGGUGGACGGAGCAAGAAUCCAAAUCAAGGCAUUCUUGACCACUAACCAAUACUUCUCCCCCUACCAUCAUCCCUGCCCCCACCCCUUUUUAUUUUACAAAGUUAACCCGUGUUUAUUAUGGAACAUCUUAACUCUGAUUUUUAGAAAUCUGCCUUCUGUCAAUAGCGCAAAAUAGAGUGUUUCAUUAGCCUCUUAAAAUGCCAGCAAUUGUAAUGUAUACAGAUGUGAACCUUCAUGGGAAGAGCGUGUCUUUAUGUUAGAGAAGAGUGAGUAAAGCUGCCCAGUUGAGGUCAUAUAUAUUGACUUAUCUGCAGGAAAUAUUCAUUUAGAUUUGAGAAGUUAUGAUUGUUAUCAGUCUCAUCCUUUAAAUUUAACUUUUAUUUUUUAUACUCAAUAUUUAGAUCAAAAUCUGUUGCAAAUCUGAAAGGAAGCUAUAAUCAUUUACUGUUAUCAAUAUACCUUUCUAGUAGCCUUAUACAUAAAUGCUCGAAUCUAGUCCUUCUCACACUUUAAUAUGCCUACAAACUACCUGGGAAGCUUAAUAAAAUGCAGGUAAUAGUUUAGGAGGUCUAGGCUGGGGCUUGUGAUUCUGCAUUUGUAAAAACUUCCCAGGUGAUGACCAAACUGCCUGGCCAGAAUCAAAUUUUCAUGAGCAAGUCUCUAAUCCACAUUAAUAUUCAAGAAAAAAAAAUUAAAUUCAAAAGUACAACUUUACAGCCUGGGCCUGAUGGCUCACAUCUGUAAUCCCAGCACUUUGGGAGGCCGAGGUGGGCAGAUCACCUGAGGUCAGGAGUUCGAAACCAGCCCGGCCAACAUGGUGAAACCCCAUCUCUACUAAAAAUACAAAAAUUAGUUGGGCAUGGUGGCACACGUUUGUAGUCCCAGCUACUUGGGAAGCUCAGGCAGGAGAAACUUGAACCCAGGAGGUAGAGUUCGCAGUGAGUAGAGAUCACACUGCUGCACUCCAAAGUGAGACUCCAUCUCAAAAAAAAAAAAAAAAAAGUAGAACUUUACAAACACUACAGUGCAUUUUCUAGAAAAUUUUUUCUAGGCCGGGCGCGGUGGCUCACGCCUGUAAUCCCAGCACUUUGGGAGGCAGAGGUGGGUGGAUCACGAGGUCAGGAGAUCAAGACCAUCCUGGCUAACACGGUGAAACCCCGUCUCUACUAAAAAUACAAAAAAAAUUAGCCGGGCGUAGUGGCGGGAGCCUGUAGUCCCAGCUACUCAGGAUGCUGAAGCAGAAGAAUGGCCUGAACCCGGCAGGCAGAGCUUGCAGUGAGCCGAGAUUGUGCCACUGCACUCCAGCCUGGGCGACAGAGCCAGACUCCGACUCAAAAAAAAAAAAAAAAGAAAAAGAAAAAUUUUUCUAAAUCUCCAUUGUUAAGAGAUCACUGUGAGGUAGGGUAGGGAGUGUGGGGAAAGAUUGGGGCCCCCAGGUUUGAAGAUCAGCUUGGUCUUGCCUGUGUGCAUGUAUCUGAUAAAAUGCAGGAAAAGUUUGUCUCUUCCCCACCCUCACUUCCACCCACUGUGAGGCUUGCUCAUGUCCAGAUUGGGCUCAGGAUGGCAGUUGUGGAUGCUCAGAGCACAAAAGGCUUCUUGUUUGCCCAAGGGCCUAUCAGUGUUUAAAUAGAACUGGCGGAAGCACAAGCACACCGUAUCAGCAGCUUAUCAGGGACCAUGGUUUUCCACGUACAUUUGCUAGGCACUUCAGUUUACCCAACUCCAUCAGCACUGAGUUAAAUUGCAAGGUUGGGCUGUACUACGCUGAGCCAGGGCAGGGAGAACAAGCCAGUUACUGGGGAUGAGGGUGUCGGGGGGGCCCUCAAGACCUUAUUUGCAUUCUGCCCACAUAGAGAAUAAAGCUGUGAUAGCCUGUGUACUAAGAGGCACCCAAAGAGAACCAGUCAGUCUUAGGAAUGCACCCGGAAGGUGGGAUGAGUCCAGGCCUCCCUAUGGUGGAAGUAGUUGGAGAUACCUCUUGUUACCCUGGUUUUCCAUCUUAGUUUACCAGGUGUAUAGUCAGUGCGGGUUAUGGUUAAAGGAGGUGUCAAUUGGGGGCCUGUUAAUGUCUUAAAAUUGUAUGCAAUUUUGGGGUUUGCAAAUGCGUCUGCGUGCAUAUUUCUCUGGCAGCUGACCUAUGAAUCAAAGGACUAAAUGUUCUUGUACUAUUCGGGCUGCAUCUUCUUUGAGGGUAAUCUUCAGGGCAGAUACAUGGGUAGCCUACUUUAGAAAUGAGGCCUUUGCAAUUAUAAUCACUCCUACUUUCUAAGCACUUGCUAUAUGCCAGGUGCUGUGCUAAAUGCUUUAUAAAUGUUAUCACAUUUAAUUCUCAGAAAAUCUUAUGAGAUAGGAAUUUUUAUUUCUAAAAGAGUUAUAAUUUGCCCAUGAUCACAGAGCUAAGUAAAUGAUAGAGCUAUGAUCGGAACUUCAACUUUCUGAUUCCAUGUCUGUUAGCACUGUGGAAGGCUGUCUUUGGCAUUUUAAUAUACUUAUCAAGUGUUUCAUAUACAUUGGUUAAUUUGUCCAACUGCCACAGAGUGGGAUGGGUGGCUCUUUUUCCUAAACUGUAGCCAUCUUUUCCCCAAAGUGUAGCCUUCAUGAAUUUUGCCCUAUUUAUAUAUCACCUAUGCUAUUAAGUUACCUACCAUUUAAAAUUUUUAAUUAAAUGUGUUAUUUCUUACCCUCAUUCCUAAAUAAUAGCCAUGGAAAAACCAUUGAUGUGCUAAUUUUUUUCUUGAAUCCACACUAAAAUAACUACAUAACCAUUAAAAUGAAAAAUGCAUUAGCCAGGUGUGGUGGUGCGUGCCUGUAGCCUCAGCUACUCGGGUGGCAGAGGAGAAGAAUCGCUUGAACCUGGAAGGCGGAGGUUGCAGUGAGCCGAGAUUUGCACCGCUGUACUCCAGCCUGGGCAACAGAGGGAGACUUCAUCUCAAAAAAAAAAAAAAAAAAAGCUAUGUUUUAAUACUACUUAAUAUCAUGUAGAGUGCCAUCAGUGUAUUGGUGCCAUGCUUUAAAAAACCCUAAUAUGUGAUUUAAAGACUACAUGUCUAUAUUGCAGCAGAAUUGUGGGUAAACUAAAAUACCCCCUCAUGCCACCCACCCCAGACAGCCCUUCUGGCACAGGGACAGGCUAGGGUCAUGGAGAGUGGUGCUAAGAGCAUCAGAGAGGAGGCUGGGUUUGACUCCAGGGAAGGCACUCUUAUGGUGGAGGCCAUGCCCUGUAUCUUUCAGGACCUGUUUUAGUUGCUCUAAUGAGGCAAUGAUGCCAAGAAAAAGAAUGUUGCUUAGCCCUCCUUGAGGGGGUUGAAGGAUUCCAGCGACUGGGGCAAGAAUCUGUGUUCUGUGUGCUCUUGCUGAAAGGAUAUUGCUGGGAUAUUGAGGGUUGUGGAUGAAGUAACCUUCCAGGGGCAGAAUUGUGCAGUAAGGUCCCUCAGCCUAGGAUGAAAAAGGCCUCUAACGAAAAGCCCACUUGUUCAUGUUUCCGUUUUAACUAAAUGUUCCUCUCUAAAUUCCAUACCCUCUGGGGCAUAAGCUGAAGGAAAAUUUGGAAUCUUAUUAUCUGAAAUUGUACGUGCAUUUGACCUAUAUUGCUAUGUCUUUAAUAAAAGCAUCUGAGGAAUAGUUCCUAAUUUAUUGACUCUCGGUUACUCCAAAAUAUGCCAAGACCCUCAGUAACGAAGCAUCCUCAUUAUCCUCCCCAAUAAAAUUGCAUUUUACAUAUUAAACUUUUUAAUCUUGGACCUUAACCAACUUUAUAAUUUGACAAUCCCUCUAACCAGCAAGUUAGAUAAAGAAGAGCAACAUACUCAUGCUCUGGAGAAUGUAAUCCUGGAGUCUGUCUUCUUUCACUU